rfam:Myotis lucifugus cont2.53308, whole genome shotgun sequence.
GGUGGUUCUCAGGUGACGCACCCCGGAAUCGGGCUCCCUCCUCUCUGGUUCCAGGUACAUCACCCGAGAACCACA